rnacentral:rRNA from 1 species
UGGGGAAUAUUGCACAAUGGGGGAAACCCUGAUGCAGCAACGCCGCGUGAAGGAAGAAGGGUUUCGGCUCGUAAACUUCUAUCGAUAGGGACGAAAUAGAUGACGGUACCUAAAUAAGAAGCCCCGGCUAACUACGUGCCAGCAGCCGCGGUAAUACGUAGGGGGCAAGCGUUAUCCGGAAUUACUGGGUGUAAAGGGAGCGUAGGCGGCAAGGUAAGUAAGAUGUGAAAGCCCGCAGCUUAACUGCGAGGAUUGCAUUUUAAACUAUCUAGCUUGAGUACAGGAGAGGUAAGCGGAAUUCCUAGUGUAGCGGUGAAAUGCGUAGAUAUUAGGAAGAACACCAGUGGCGAAGGCGGCUUACUGGACUGUAACUGACGCUGAGGCUCGAAAGCGUGGGGAGCGAACAGG